ensembl:lncRNA
CAACCUUGGAAGUCUGAGGAGGGUUGGAUUUCUGUAACCCCUUGCAGGCCACAGUGCCAAAUUGAGGAUUAGUACAUUGUGGAGAGGGAGGCGGGCAGCUCCACCCCUGAUCGGCCAUUCUUCAUUCCCUAGAAUGGGCUUGCCUUCCCAGCCCCAGCUGUGCACUGAAUUAAUCGACACGGGGAGCUUCUCUCUCUACACCGUUUCCACAUGCUCAUCAAGGUCCCGCACCACUUCUGACAAAAGCAAAUGUGGCUCUUCUGACUCGGGAUUUGGGAGACUUUACUCAGGCCUUAAAUGUAAACAUACACCAAACACACACACACACACACACACAGCUUUAAUUGCAUAUUAUGAAGACAGUCAACAGUUAACGCCGAAUCUUCGGAAAACUGAAUAAGACGAUAACAAACAAGAGCGGUUCUGCAGAAAGGUCCGUCUCAGGAAAUGAGUAUGACUUCACUUCUCCAGAAAUGGUUCUUCCAAACAAAGUGGGUGAGAAUAAUUUAGUCAGCAACUAGCCCGAGAAGGGAUGCUAAUCCUUUUCAUUGCCAGCUUCUAGGAGCACACGGGUCAGCCAGGUGACUUGAUGAACUUAUCUUGCUUUGCUACCGCUAAGGAAGUACACCUCAUGUAUAUAAUUUUAUUGUGCUAUUGUUCCUACAAACCGUGACCAUUAGGGAAAAAUUUAGUCCUUAUUUUUGAAGUAUUAUUGAUGAUAAUGUCUAAGAAAAUUGCUUGGGGUUAUGACUUCGCUCAAACUGUGAACCUGCUAACCAUAUUUGUUUAGAUUUAGUCUUGGUUUAUAUAAUCAUCUAUCUGUAGACCAUGAAAGUAAUAUACUGUCUGUAUUUUCAUAAAUAUCCACCAAAAACAUUAUAUUAUAACUGAUUAAAAGAUUUUUGAAAGAAAAGUAAAGACAAUACAAAAAAUUUUAGCAGAGAAAUUUUACCAGAAAUUUUAUUUCAGCUCAUUUUUCUGAUAGCUUAAGAUUUACUUUAUAAUUUGGAUAAAUGAAUAGAAAAUGUAUAUAGAGAGGAGCUCCUGACUGGUCAUCCUGUGAGGACUUACAGAAAUCUUACUAGUGGAAUUAACAUCAGAAAAAAUAUCUAUAAUGAAAAAUGUUGACAAAUAUAUUUCAUGGCCUGGUCAUCUGUGUCUUUACCUAUGAGUACAUGUUGUACAUCUCAAUUUAAAUUCUUAACAACCACUGGUUCUUUAACAUGUUCCAGGUCCAAGGUCAUCAGCUACUGUUUCCUGCCAGCAAAGCUAAGUCACUAAAAGUUAACUUUCAGGUUUUCCUACUGAUUUCCAUAAGCUUGUAAUAGUAGGCCAUGAAGUUAUCAAACCUUCAUCUGUGAAAAACUUAUCUAAAGUGGUUGAAAAAAUAGGAGAUGCACUUGAAAACAUCAGGUUGGGUGUAUUGAAAUAAAAUAAGAAUUACAUAAAGAAAUGAAAAGUACAAUGUCGGUCCCAUUGUUGGCUUCUGCUUAUCAUUCCUGGCUGAAAUAGAAACUUCAGAUAAAAGAAUUGACUUGUAAAUGUGAAAGUUAACUCCGUUUAUACAAAAAGCGUAUUUGCCUCCCUUCUUUUCAGAUGUGAAUUUUAAAAUCUGUAUUAUAUUUGUGUGUUUGGAGAGAAACAAAAACAAUAGCAAGAAGAAAACAGGAAAAUAAAUAUACGUAUGGAUCAAAAAGCAAUUUAGAUGGCAAUUGCUCGAGUAGCGAUGAAAUAGUUUCUGGUGCCAGACUAAGUCAUUUGGAUCCUUUGCCGCUGUUGUGUUGUAUGGGAUCCCAUAGGAAAACAAAGGGAAGUGCUUUUCAUUUUUGGCCACAGCGCUUGAAAAUAUACAAGGAAUGGGGAGGAAAAGAGGGUGACAUCAAUGGUCAUAAAAAUGUGACCUUCGGCUUGAUAGCAUAAGACAAAUAAAAGGUUUCCACAGCACCUGGCAUUUAAACAUUAAAGGAAAUUGUGAGCACAACCCACUCUUUUACAAUGGAGCUAAGUAUUAUUGUGUGUUUCCAAAUAUUCCUCAUACUCGUUUUGGUCACUGAAAACUCAGUGUGCUACCUCGGAGAAGGACAAAACCCUCAGAAGCUAUGCUGAACAGGAGUCGUCUUUGCCACUUUGGGUAAAAGUCCUGUGAAUUUGUGUUGGAGAACAAUCUUCCACUGGCUGCAGUCUGAUCCUUCUGCCAGUCCAAGAGACUGUCCUCACUGAGAAGUGACUCAAUAAACCAGGUGGCCUCUCUGCCUGGAAGUGAAGCUUCCACAAAGGAUUAAAAGACAGGAGACCUUGGGGUUGGUUUAAUCUUAAAGAAUUGUCCCCCAAUUCUGUGAACUUGGGGACGGUACAGCUGUCUUAAUUUCAGUGUUUUCCCAACAUUUUUCCUCAGCUUGCUCAUCCCUCAUGCUCAUAACUUUCCCGUAAGUUUUUCUGUUUGCUUAAGUUAUCCAGAGUUAACCUCUCCUAAAACCGAAGACUAGAAGUAACGUGAAGUGGUUAACUUUGUAUGAACUGAUAGAAUUACAGUUUUACACUUUUAUUAUAAUUUUCUAAUUACAAUUUACAAUUACAAUUUUAUUAAGGAUAGAAUAAUGUAUUGACUAUACUAUGAAUGGGAAUAUAUAUAAUCUAUUCGAAUUUAAUGCUCC